rnacentral:tRNA from 1 species
CGCGGAGUGGAGCAGCGGUAGCUCGUUGGGCUCAUAACCCAAAGGUCGUAAGUUCGAGUCUUACCUCCGCAA